rnacentral:rRNA from 1 species
GGUUAAGUUAGAAAGGGCGCACGGUGGAUGCCUUGGCACUAGGAGCCGAAGAAGGACGGGACUAACACCGAUAUGCUUUGGGGAGCUGUACGUAAGCGUUGAUCCAGAGAUUUCCGAAUGGGGGAACCCACUAUCUUUAGUCGGAUAGUAUCCUUACGUGAAUACAUAGCGUGAGGAAGGCAGACCCAGGGAACUGAAACAUCUAAGUACCUGGAGGAAGAGAAAGAAAAAUCGAUUUCCUGAGUAGCGGCGAGCGAAACGGAAAGAGCCCAAACCAAGAAGCUUGCUUCUUGGGGUUGUAGGACACUCUAUACGGAGUUACAAAAGAAAGUUAUAAAUGAAGCGGUCUGGAAAGGCCCGCCAAAGACGGUAACAGCCCGGUAGUUGAAAUGGCUUUCCCUCCAGAGUGGAUCCUGAGUACGGCGGAACACGUGAAAUUCCGUCGGAAUCCGGGAGGACCAUCUCCCAAGGCUAAAUACUCCCUAGUGACCGAUAGUGAACCAGUACCGUGAGGGAAAGGUGAAAAGCACCCCGGAAGGGGAGUGAAACAGUUCCUGAAACCGUGUGCCUACAAGUAGUUAGAGCCCGUUAAUGGGUGAUAGCGUGCCUUUUGUAGAAUGAACCGGCGAGUUACGAUUUGUUGCAAGGUUAAGCGGAAAAAGCGGAGCCGUAGCGAAAGCGAGUCUGAAUAGGGCGCAUAAGUAACAGGUCGUAGACCCGAAACCAGGUGAUCUACCCAUGUCCAGGAUGAAGGUAAGGUAAUACUUACUGGAGGUCCGAACCCACGCACGUUGAAAAGUGCGGGGAUGAGGUGUGGGUAGCGGAGAAAUUCCAAUCGAACUUGGAGAUAGCUGGUUCUCUCCGAAAUAGCUUUAGGGCUAGCCUCGAGGUAAAGAGUCAUGGAGGUAGAGCACUGUUUGGACUAGGGGCCCUUCUCGGGUUACCGAAUUCAGAUAAACUCCGAAUGCCAUGUACUUAUACUCGGGAGUCAGACUGCGAGUGAUAAGAUCCGUAGUCGAAAGGGAAACAGCCCAGACCACCAGUUAAGGUCCCCAAAUAUAUGUUAAGUGGAAAAGGAUGUGGGGUUGCUUAGACAACCAGGAUGUUGGCUUAGAAGCAGCCACCAUUGAAAGAGUGCGUAAUAGCUCACUGGUCGAGUGACCCCGCGCCGAAAAUGUACCGGGGCUAAACAUAUUACCGAAACUGUGGAUGAACCUCUUUAGAGGUUCGUGGUAGGAGAGCGUUCUAAGGGCGGUGAAGUCAGACCGGAAGGACUGGUGGAGCGCU